AUGUUGUAGUUUUUGCUUCUAUUGAUGUCUCCAGUUGCAUCUCGGACUCAACUUUGGUUGUCAUAGAAUUCUUUGACCAUGUUUGGUUAGAAGAAUCUUUAAUUACUUUGAAAAGUCUAAGAGCCUGAGGCCUGGCCUAGAAGCCCGAUAAGUAGGAGGUUUAGAUCUAGCAAGUAGGCCCAAAAGCCGGAACAGAUUCAGG
rnacentral:lncRNA from 1 species